UACGUAGGGGGCUAGCGUUGUCCGGAUUUAUUGGGCGUAAAGAGUUCGUAGGCGGUUCGUUAAGUCUGAUGUUAAAGACUGGGGCUCAACCCCGGGAGUGCAUUGGAUACUGGCGGACUGGAGUGUGGUAGAGGCUAGUGGAAUUCCCAGUGUAGCGGUGAAAUGCGUAGAUAUUGGGAAGAACACCAGUGGCGUAGGCGACUAGCUGGGCCAUAACUGACGCUGAGGAACGAAAGCCAGGGGAGCGAAUGGG
rnacentral:rRNA from 1 species